AUACGUAGGGGGCGAGCGUUGUCCGGAUUCAUUGGGCGUAAAGCGCGCACAGGCUGCCGCCUAGGCGGGACCUCUAAUCCCGGGGCUCAACCCCGGGCCGGGUCCCGAACUGGGCGGCUCGGGUGCGGUAGGGGAGGUCGGAAUUCCCGGUGUAGCGGCGGAAUGCGCAGAUAUCGGGAGGAACACCGACGGCGAAGGCAGGCCUCUGGGCCGCCACCGACGCUGAGGCGCGAAAGCCGGGGGAGCGAACAGGAUUAGAUACCCUGGUAGUCCCGGCCGUAAACGAUGCUAGCUAGGUGUGGGGGGACGUGCCCCCGUGCCGCAGCCAACGCAUUAAGCUAGCCGCCUGGGGAGUACGGCCGCAAGGCUAAAACUCAAAUGAAUUGACGGGG
rnacentral:rRNA from 1 species